rnacentral:rRNA from 1 species
UACGUAGGGUCCGAGCGUUGUCCGGAAUUAUUGGGCGUAAAGGGCUCGUAGGCGGUGUGUCACGUCGGCCGUGAAAACCUGCAGCUUAACUGUGGGCGUGCGGUCGAUACGGGCAUCACUGGAGUUCGGCAGGGGAGACUGGAAUUCCUGGUGUAGCGGUGAAAUGCGCAGAUAUCAGGAAGAACACCAAUGGCGAAGGCAGCUCUCUGGGACGGUACUGGACGCUGAAGACGCGAAAGCGUGGGGAGCGAACAGG